rnacentral:guide_RNA from 1 species
AUUGUAAACGCUAACGGGAAUAUAAAUUGACAUAGAGAUACAGUGAUGA